rnacentral:rRNA from 1 species
UACGGAAGGCAGCAGUGGGGAAUAUUGCACAAUGGGCGAAAGCCUGAUGCAGCUAUGCCGCGUGUAUGAAGAAGGCCUUAGGGUUGUAAAGUACUUUCAUCGGGGAGGAAAAAACAAAACUAAUAAUUUUAUUUCUUGACGUUACCCGAAAAAGAAGCACCGGCUAACUCCGUGCCAGCAGCCGCGGUAAUACGGAGGGUGCUAGCGUUAAUCAGAAUUACUGGGCGUAAAGAGCACGUAGGUGGUUUUUUAAGUUCAGAUGUGAAAUCCCUGGGCUUAACCUAGGAACUGCAUUUUGAAACUGAAAUACUAGAGUAUCGUAGAGGGAGGUAGAAUUCUAGGUGUAGCGGUGAAAUGCGUAGAUAUCUGGAGGAAUACCUGUGGCGAAAGCGGCCUCCUAAACGAAAUACUGACACUGAGGUGCGAAAGCGGUGGGGAGCAAACAGGAUUAGAUACC